AAUAAUAAUAAAAAAGCAAAGUUGGUAAAAUGCUUUGUUCAUUAUGAUGUACCUAGAUCUUGGUAUGGUUCCUGGCUGUCUUAAUUAGGGUUACUAUUGCUGUGAUGAAACACCAUAAUCAAAAGCAAGUUGGUUAGGAAAGAAUUUAUUUAGCUUAUGCCUUCACAUCAUAGUCCAUGACUGAAGUGUAGACAGGAGCUCAAACAAGGCAGGAACCUGGAAGCAAAUGCUAAUGAAGAGACCAUAGAGAGCACUGCCUAAUGGCUUCCUCAGCUUACAUUCUUAUAGCACCAUCUCAGGAGUAGCACCCUACAAUGGAUGUGGUCCUCCCCCAAACAUCAAUUAAGAAAACACCCAAUAGAUAGAUCUUAGGGAGGAAUUUUCUCAAUUGAGGUUCUCUCUUUUCAGAUGAUACAAAACUAGCCAGCACAAUGACAGAUAAGAGGUACUGUCUAAAUAUUUGUCAAACCAGUGAAUAAAUGAAUAAAAUUUACUCGUCUCUGUCUAGUUUCCAUCAUGUUUAGAGUAAGUUCUUUUAAAAGUAGAAUUUUGAUGUAUUCUCUGGAAACUUCAUACAUGUACAGAAUGUACCUUGACUGUUCACCUCCCGUUUUCUUUUCCAGUUCUUUCGAGGAUCCUCUACAUACCUCCCACCCAUCUUUAUGCUUGCUUUAUGUAUUUUUCCCAUGCUGCUUUUAUGUACUUUAUUUUGGAAUUUUAGCAUGUAUUUACUUAUCCUGUUACUGAUUUUGAAUUGUGCUAAGAGAUACCUAACAAGCUUGAUGUUUUUAUUUAUUCAAUUUAAACUUCAUUUCAUUUUUAAAUUAGCAUAUAAGUGAUAGGUUUCCUUGUGGUAUUUUCAUACAUACUACAUUUUGAUUAAUCCCACUUCUUUUCCCACCUCCUUGACCCCCAGUUCCUACUAUACAUUUCCUUCCCUUGUAUUCUUUCAUCUUCACAUCACAUACCACACCCAUAUCUAUCACCCUCCCACACAUUCCCAUAAUGCCUCUUUCUUUCUGUUUCAUAGGGUUCAUAAAACAUGAGAUUAUGAAAUUUGCAAGAAAAUGGAUGGAACUGGAAAUAUUGUGUCAACUGAAUUAUUCCAGCCUCAGAAAGGCAACUAUUACAUGUUCUUUCUCAUAUGUGGUCCCUAGCCUCUAACUGAUAUUAUGUAUAUGUGUGUGUGUGUGUGUGUGUGUGUGUGUGUGCAUGUGGGUAUGUCUUUAUUUAUGUAUUUAUGUGAAAAUGAGUGUAGGUAGAGGUCCAUAUGCAUUUAUUUGAUUUAGGUUUUUCUUUUGCUUCUCAGCUCUUUCCAACUCUUCACAUUCCCACCUAGCCAACUCCACACCCCUUUUCUCUGUUUCUUUAAAAAAAACCAAACAGGCAGCCUGGCGGUGGUGGAACACGCCUUUAAUCCCAGCACUUGGGAGGCAGAGGGGGCCAGAUUUCUGAGUUCAAGGCUAGCCUGGUCCACAGAGUGAGUUCCAGGACAGCCAGGGCUACACAGAGAAACCCUGUCUCGAAAAAAACAAAACAAGCAAGCAAACAAACAAACAAACAAGCAAACAAUACAAAAAUUACAGAUUUUUUAAAAUGAAGGAAAAAACACACAGGAAACACACACACAAAUGUACAAAGAAAAUCCAUAAAACCUACAAAAUUGGAAGACAUAAUAUAUAAGAAAAAGAAUAGUAAGAAAAUAAAAACAAAGAAAUAUAUGGCUGAAGAGUUUACAAAACCACAACUGAGUUCAUUUUGUGUUGGCCGUCUACUGCUGGGCAUGGGGGCCCCCUUUAAGUGUGGUUAAUUACCCAGAGAGACUCCAGUGGAGAAAACUGUUUCUUGGCAAGCAGAUGUCAGUUGCAGAUAGCUUCUUGGUUAGGGAUGGGAGCUCAUGUCCCCUUCUCAGCCCUAGUACCCUGUGUGGCUUGAAACUGUGGAUAUCCUGUGCAUGCUGCCACAGUCUCUGUGAGUUCAUAUUUGCAUCAGUCCUGUUGUGUCUGGAAGGCACUAUUUUCUUGGAGUCACCUUUCUGCUCUGGCUCUUACAAUCGUGUCACCUCCUUUUCCUCAUAGCUCCUUGAACCCUGAGGGGAGGGGUUUAAUGAAGACAUCCCAUUUAGGACUGAGUGUUCCAAAAUUUCUCAGUCUCUGCACAUUACCCAGGUUUGCGGUCUUUGUGUCAGUUCCCUUCUGACAAGAGGAAGCUUCUCUUAAGUGAGUUGCUGAUCACUGGCUAUAGUGAUAUGUAAUUAGGAGACAUUUUAUUUACGUGGUCUUUUAGUAGCAUAGUAGUAGCUGAUUGUCCCUAUCCAGUCUCGGCGUUAUACUUACAGUUAACGUAGCUUCUGCAUAAGCUGCAGCAGGCCCCUAAAGCACCUGCUGUGUCCCUUUACUGAUUACACUCCCACACCUUCAAGUGUGACUCUUCUGCUAUUUACGUUUAUUAUUGCAUUUAUUAAUUUCUGGUACUUGUGUGUAGAAACUCAUUGUAGUCCACCAGGCUGUCCCUCAGAUUUACGAUGUACCAGAGACUGUCCUGAGCUGUCCUUGAACAGUUGGUUCUCCUUGCUUCCACUUCCCACGACCUAGUAUUUCAGGCAUGUGCCAGCAUGCCCUGCUUCUGUUUUAAGUUGUUUACAAAUGGAGAAUGUUGUUUUACAAUUAUUUGAAAUAUAUGUACUCCAUGUACCAAGUUAUGUGAUAACCUAGUUACAUAGUCAAAACUUACUUCUGGAGCUUAUGACGGUGAUGCACACCCGUACUUGCAGCCCUGGGAGGCAGAUGUGAGAAUUAUCUCAAUUUGUAGGCCAGCCUGGGCUAUACAGUGAGCUCUUGUCUCAAAGGGAAAGCAACAUAUUAUUUCUAAAACAGUAAAGUGCUGACCUAGCCAGCACCUAGCAGAAGGAUUUUAAUAAAUCAUGUUCAACUUUGAAUCCACAGUGCAUUAGAAAUAUAGUAAGUUUCACACACACAUCACUAAAUAGUCUCUGGCAGACCCUCAGCUCCCUACCUUCAAGGUCCUCUUGAUAGCCACAUACUUUGCUCUGCCCUCAGUCUCUCUCCUUGGCCAAGAGCCAAAAGGCAUCAGCAAUGAAACUGAAUACAUUGUAAAUAAAAUUCACCUUGUUGUGAUAAUAUUGAAGUACAACCCAGAGUGUAAGUAAGGUACCUGUAAGGCCACAGUGAUAUAGAAAUGAUCACAGGAGUAGGAGGGAAGAGAGAGUUUUUCUGGUUAGAUGUGGUAUUUUUGCCCAAAGGAAAUAAGAGGCUCUGUGACUCCUCAUGGUGUGGAGUGUGGGCUGCUCAUGGUAACUCUUUUCCAAAGAACAUAGUGGAGAAAAAGAGUGAAGUGCAGAGCAACUUGCCCGUGAGUGUGGUAGACAUAAUCACAGCAGAAACUAUUGGAAAUUUUUCAAUUAAAGGGCGUUUUUAUUGCAUAGUAAGAAGUUUCAGUUUAGUCUCUGACUAAUUAGUGACAUUUGAUCAUCAGUUUUGCUCAUUUAUGUCUGAUUACGUAUGGUCCCAGCUUAUUGGAACAACUCGGGUUUGCUAGAGCAUCGGUCAUGGGUUGGUUUUUCUAUGACUACAGGAGCCAUUACAUCAUCCUCUAAUUUAAACAAAAUGAUAAUAAUUGGGAGUGUGUGGAGUCUUGUAUAAUUCUAUCCUGUGUGCUCAUGAGUUUCUUAAAAUUCUUUAGAAAGUCAGAAGCUCUGAGUCAUAGCAUACCCAGUUUUGAAGUAACAGGGAAAAAAAAAUCAUUAAAUUAGCUAAACAAAUUGUCAUAGAAUAGAAACAGGAGUUUUUGAGAGUGGGCAUCCAGACUGUGUGUCUGUACGAUACACUUUAGAAACUUAGUUUGAUUAAGUUUUGUUUUUCUGAGGAUAUGAUUCUUUUCUGUAAUUACCAUUCUGUUUUCUCUGACAGGCCAUCAACCAUUGGCUGCCCUAAGCUCCCCGUGAAUUGAGUUAUUCCCAAUAAUGCUCUACAUUAUGAAGACAUUAUUCGAGUGGCUGUCCACUGUGAUCUGGUUAUUUGGAGCUUUACAUAAAGCAGGUGGUUCUUCCAACUCAUCGAUAUUCUUAUCAUUCAACAUUCGCCAUCUUGUUUCCUGCAGCUCAUCUCACUAAGCCCAAUAGUGAUGUGUCUCCUUCGUGUUGUUUGUCCCCAAUUUAUUUGGUUCUCCAUUUACUGUGUAGUCUUUCCUUUUAUAAAUUCCCCACAUUCUUUUGUUUUCUGUCUUACCAAGGCUCCUGUUCUGCUGUCGUGCCCAAAGGUUUUGUGGCGGUUGAGUUUGUUUGGUUCUGCAAGAUCAUCCAGGCACCACAACUCUGAGGUUCUGUUCCUUCCAGGCUGCAUCGAUCUAAUGCUCAGACCUACACUGGAAGCAGAGCAUCUCUGACCUGUCAACCCCUGUUCCUGGUAGUGUCCACUGGUGAUGUUGCUCCUGACCCUGGUGGCUAGAGUUUGACCCAUUUGUCGGCUCAGCCCUCAUUCGCGACUCGGAGGAUGCUUUACACUUGAGCAUUUGUGCUACAACUAGAAUCUCAAGGGCACAAGGUUCAGACCACAGUGAAGAGAAGCACCAAUCUUGCCUCCUUGAUUGUUCACCUUUGCGUUUUGUUGGCUUCACCUUCCUUAUCUGUAAGAAAGAAAGGCGCUUGCUGAGCUUUCCUAGAAAGCACAGUUCUUUGUCCUGGACACUCCUGACAUCUUGCCAAUGUGGAGAAGGCUUAUUUACAUUACCUGUCAUCGUCUCAAGCCUUGUAGACCUGCUGCCAGGCUCCCUGCUGCUUCCACAGUCCCAGCUCGCGCUCACACCUUGACUUGCUUUUCCAAGUCACCAUCUCAGUGAUAUAAGUGAAAAUUUUCAACUCUUGUGUUCCACUAUUGUUUUGCUUUAAAACUCUAAAAGACAUCAUUAAAAUGGUGAUUUCUAGUGUAAUGUUGUCAUUAGAAGUAUUUUCUUCUUUGCAUUUUGUGCCUUGUUACUCUCUCUCUCUCUCUCUCUCUCUCUCUCUCUCUGUGUCUCUGUGUGUGUGUGUGUGUUCAGGAAAAUGCUUACAUGGGGAGGACGGAGGACAACCUCUGGUAGUUUCUCAAGUGUUACCUACCUUGUUUUAUGAGACAAGGUCUCCACUGGUGUGAAGCACUUGCCAAUUAGGUUAGGCUGGCUGGCAAGCCUCAGGCACCUUCUUACCUCUACCCUCUAGUGCUGAGAUUACAAGAAUGCAUCACUACAUUUGGUUUUCUUUUUUCUUUUUUUAAUUUUGUUUCAGGCCGUGUGUGGUGGAUGGAGCAUGCCUCUAAUCACAGUACUCGAGAGGCUGAGGUAAUCAGAUCUCUGCAUCUAUAAAAUAAGUUCUAGGACAGCCAGGGCUGUACAGAGAAACACUGUCUCAAAAAACAAACAACAAAAAAUGAUUUUUACUUUAUCAUAUAUGUAUGUGCAUCACUUGCAUGCCAGUGUCCUUAACUACUGAGCCAUUUCUUGAGCCUGCAAUUUUUGAUGUGGUUUCUGGGACUCAAAUAAGCAUUUUACCGACUGAACUCGCCAGCCAGCCCUGUUUAUUGUUUGUGUAAUACCCUGAAGAGAGAUUGGAUAGAUCCAAGAGAGGGAUCUGACUUGAUUUUGGAUAAGAGAGGUUAUGACUGGGCAUUGGGGAGGAGGGUAAUGGAAAGAAAGAAGGGAAAGAUAAAACAGAUCGGUGGACUAGACGGCAAGAAUUCCAGAGCCUUACUGAUGAGAUUCACAGCCUGGCUCUUCCACCUAUUGGCUUGGUCAGUUACCUUGAACUCAGAAAUCUGCCUGCCUCUGCCUCCCAAGUGCUGGGAUUAAAGGCGAGUGCUACCACGCCCGGCUUUUUUGAAGUUUUUUAUUAUUUCUUUAUUUACAUUUCAAAUGUUUUCCCCUUUCCUAGUUGCCCCUCUGAAAACCUUCCCCCCUCCCCCUGCUCACCAACCCACCCACUCCCACUUCCUGGACCCUGGCAGUUCCCUACACUGGAGCACGAGCCUUCACAGGACCAAAGGCCUCUCCUUCCACUGAUGACUGACUAGGCCAUCCUCUGCUACAUAUGUAGCUAGAGCCAUGAGUCCCACCAUGUGUACUCUUUAUUUGGUGGUUUAGACCCUGGGAGCUCUGGGGGUACUGGUUAGUUCAUAUUGUUUUUCCUCCUAGAGGUCGCAAACCCCUUCAACUCCUUGGGUUCUUUUUCUAGCUCCUCCAUUGGGGACCCUGUACUCAGUCCAAUGGUUGGCUGCAAGCAUCCACCUCUGUAUUUGUCAGGCACUGGUGGAGCCUCUCAGGAGACAGCUAUAUCAGGCUCCUGAAAGCAAGCUCUUGUUGGCAUCCACAAAAGUGUCUGCGUUUGGUGAUUGUAUAUAGGAUGGAUUCCCAGGCGGGGCAGUCUCUGGAUGGUCAUUCCUUCAGUCUCUGCUCCACACUUUGUCUCUGCUCCACACAUUGUCUCUGUAACUCCUUCCAUGGGUAUUUUGUUCCCCCUUCUAAGAAGGAUCGAAGUAUCCACACUUUGGUGUUCCUUCUUCUUGAGUUUCAUGUGGCUUGUGAAUUGUAUCUUAACAAGAUAUUCUUUAGAGUAUCCUCAGCAACAAGAGGUCUUUGCUUCUGAAUACAGAGUAUCUGAAAUUAGAGCAAGCUGGGCCUAGGAGGAUAGGCCUCUCAUAGUGCUUAUCUCACAGGCUAAGGCAAGAGGACCUCAAGAUCAGUGUCUGCUUGUGCUACAAAGUGAGCUCAAGGCCAGCCUGCAUCAUAACUAGUGAGAAACUAUCUCAAAGGGAAAGAAAUGCUUGGUUUAUCACAG
rnacentral:lncRNA from 1 species